AGGACGAACGCUGGCGGCGUGCUUAACACAUGCAAGUCGAACGGAAAGGCCCUUCGGGGUACUCGAGUGGCGAACGGGUGAGUAACACGUGAGCAAUCUGCCCCUAGCUCUGGGAUAGCUCCGGGAAACCGGGAUUAAUACCAGAUAUUACUACGGCCGACAUCAGCUGUGGUGGAAAGAAUUUCGGCUAGGGAUGAGCUCGCGGCCUAUCAGCUUGUUGGUGGGGUAAAGGCCCACCAAGGCGACGACGGGUAGCCGGCCUGAGAGGGCGACCGGCCACACUGGGACUGAGACACGGCCCAGACUCCUACGGGUGGCAGCAGUCGAGAAUUUUUUCUCAAUGGGGGAAACCCUGAAGGAGCGACGCCGCGUGGAGGAUGAAGGCUUUCGGGUUGUAAACUCCUGUCAUUUGGGAACAAAGCCUUACGUUAACUGCGUGGAGGUUUGAUAGUACCGAAAGAGGAAGAGACGGCUAACUCUGCGCCAGCAGCCGCGGUAA
rnacentral:rRNA from 1 species